rnacentral:rRNA from 1 species
GAUGAACGCUGGCGGCGUGCCUAAUACAUGCAAGUCGAGCGAACAGACGAGGAGCUUGCUCCUCUGACGUUAGCGGCGGACGGGUGAGUAACACGUGGAUAACCUACCUAUAAGACUGGGAUAACUUCGGGAAACCGGAGCUAAUACCGGAUAAUAUAUUGAACCGCAUGGUUCAAUAGUGAAAGACGGUUUUGCUGUCACUUAUAGAUGGAUCCGCGCCGCAUUAGCUAGUUGGUAAGGUAACGGCUUACCAAGGCAACGAUGCGUAGCCGACCUGAGAGGGUGAUCGGCCACACUGGAACUGAGACACGGUCCAGACUCCUACGGGGGGCAGCAGUAGGGAAUUUUCCGCAAUGGGCGAAAGCUUGACGGAGAAACGCCGCGUGAGUGAUGAAGGUCUUCGGAUCGUAAAACUCUGUUAUUAGGGAAGAACAAAUGUGUAAGUAACUAUGCACGUCUUGACGGUACCUAAUCAGAAAGCCACGGCUAACUACGUG